rnacentral:siRNA from 1 species
GGAUUAACUUGACCUCCUG